GCACAAGCGGUGGAGUAUGUGGUUAAUUCGAUGCAACGCGAAGAACCUUACCUGGUCUUGACAUCCCGGAGACCCUUAGGAAACUAGGGGGUGCUUCCAUCUGGAAGAAUCUGGAGACAGGUGCUGCAUGGCUGUCGUCAGCUCGUGUCGUGAGAUGUUGGGUUAAGUCCCGCAACGAGCGCAACCCUUGCCUUUAGUUGCCAGCAGUUCGGCUGGGCACUCUAAAGGGACUGCCGGUGUUAAACCGGAGGAAGGUGGGGAUGACGUCAAGUCCUCAUGGUCUUUAUGACCAGGGCUACACACGUACUACAAUGGCCGAUACAAAGGGCAGCGACACUGCGAGGUGAAGCCAAUCCCGUAAAAUCGGUCUCAGUCCGGAUUGGAGUCUGCAACUCGACUCCAUGAAGUUGGAAUCGCUAGUAAUCGUGGAUCAGCAUGCCACGGUGAAUACGUUCCCGGGCCUU
rnacentral:rRNA from 1 species